UUCACUUCAGUUUUAUACAAAACAACAAUGCUCUCUUCACUUCUGCUGCUGCUAACAGCUGCAUUCUGUGGUGUUGGAGGUGUAGAGCUCACUCAGUCAGCCUCUGUGGUUGUGAAACCUGGAGAAUCGUUCUCCAUCUCUUGUAAGAUCUCAGAGUCGAGCUAUUGUAUUACCUGGAUACGACAACCUGCUGGGAAAGGACUGGAAUGGCUCGGAUAUCUGUGUGAUGGUGGUGGCACUGAUAUUAAAGAUACAAUGAAGAACAAGAUCAGUUUCACCCAGGACAAAUCCAGCAGCACAGUUUAUUUAAGAGGACAAAACUUUCAGACUGAGGACACGGCUGUGUAUUACUGCGCCAGAGACACAGCACUACAAACUCACUGCAGCCCUGUACAAAAACACCCCUGUUCAUUUACAUCUCUCUCCAGUACACGUGUCCCCAGGGACGCCUAGU